rnacentral:rRNA from 1 species
AGCAUAUCAAUAAGCGGAGGAAAAGAAACCAACAGGGAUUGCCCCAGUAACGGCGAGUGAAGCGGCAACAGCUCAAAUUUGAAAUCUGGGCCCCCAGGGCCCGAGUUGUAAUUUGUAGAGGAUGCUUUUGGCGCGGCGCCUUCCGAGUUCCCUGGAACGGGACGCCAUAGAGGGUGAGAGCCCCGUCUGGUUGGACGCCUAGCCUCUGUAAAGCUCCUUCGACGAGUCGAGUAGUUUGGGAAUGCUGCUCUAAAUGGGAGGUAUAUGUCUUCUAAAGCUAAAUACCGGCCAGAGACCGAUAGCGCACAAGUAGAGUGAUCGAAAGAUGAAAAGCACUUUGAAAAGAGGGUUAAAAAGUACGUGAAAUUGUUGAAAGGGAAGCGCUUGUGACCAGACUUGGGCCCGGUUGAUCAUCCAGCGUUCUCGCUGGUGCACUCUGCCGGCCCAGGCCAGCAUCAGUUCGCGCCGGGGGACAAAGGCGGCGGGAACGUGGCUCCUCCGGGAGUGUUAUAGCCCGCCGCGCAAUACCCUGGGGCGGACUGAGGCCCGCGCUCCGCAAGGAUGCUGGCGUAAUGGUCAUCAGCGACCCGUCUUGAAACACGGACCAAGGAGUCGUCUUCGUAUGCGAGUGUUCGGGUGUCAAACCCCUACGCGUAAUGAAAGUGAACGCAGGUGAGAGCUUCGGCGCAUCAUCGACCGAUCCUGAUGUUCUCGGAUGGAUUUGAGUAAGAGCAUACGGGGCCGGACCCGAAAGAAGGUGAACUAUGCCUGUAUAGGGUGAAGCCAGAGGAAACUCUGGUGGAGGCUCGCAGCGGUUCUGACGUGCAAAUCGAUCGUCAAAUAUGGGCAUGGGGGGCGAAAGACUAAUCGAACCUUCUAGUAGCUGGUUUCCGC